CUCAGUUGGACCCACUGAGAACCAAAACAACCCUGUCUACAUAGCCUUAACCUGGAUUCUGCUUCUUGGUCGCACUAGAGCGUGACGGAACAUUAACCUACAUAGGCUACCAAAGUGCCAGUCCUUAUGAGGGGUGCCCAAGUACAGUUCAUUGGCCCCGUCCCAAAGUCGCCCCGGAAGGUUCUCAUUGUUGUUUUGUUCCCAAGCUGGGAGUACAGUAAAGUGGAUUAUCAUCAGCAGGAGGUUCUGCAGAAGCAUCCAGAGCAGGGAUGGAUGGGAGAUGCAGUUUGAGUGUAACACAAGCCUUGCAGUGUGAGUUCGCAAGGUGGGUACACCUUGGCAGCCACCUGUGGUGGUCUGCUGGUUGCUUGGCAAUCAACUCCUCCCGCCGUCUGCCGUCUCACGCAGGUCACUAAAUGUGCAGACAAGCUCCUGGGGAAUAUGGAGAUUUGAAUGGAAUGUCCCUACGUUGAAUGGAGGGCCUAUUUGGAGAUUACAAGAAUUUGGGCUCAACUUGCAUUAAAUACAGUUGUGCUGAGGGAAAAUGCUUCACUGGCAUUACAGAAGUGUACAUACCACUCUCGAAUGAAGUGUCAACCUCAGUUUUGCAGUGGGGGAAAGGGCCACAAGAGCUUCCCCAAAUUUGGACCCAGUGUCCAAUAAAUCCCAGGAAGUUAGGCCAAUGGGGAGAAAGGAACCAUUCAAUUCCCAUUUUCCUCUUUCCUGGCUGCAAGCUUAAACACCCUCAUGAGUGUCUUUAUUAAGAGGUGAACUUCCAAUGCUGCCUGUAGCUUAAGGGUUUUCUUCCCCACCCUUUGGUGCUUGUAAAAAGACGACACUCACCCACACUUGAAACCUUGUGAGGAUAAUUUGUGUAGAAACUUCUGCUUGUGGAGAGAUUGUCUAUUGGCUAACUGGCUGAUAUUGCCUCUUGGACUCUUUGAACAAAGCGUUUUGCA